CAGUCGCCACGGGAACACGAAGGGGGCUAGCGUUACUCGGGAUUACUGGGCGUAAAGGGCGCGUAGGCGGCACGAUUAGUCAGGCGUGAAAUUCCUGGGCUCAACCUGGGGACUGCGCUUGAUACGGUCGAGCUAGAGGAUGGAAGAGGGUUGUGGAAUUCCCAGUGUAGUGGUGAAAUUCGUAGAUAUUGGGAAGAACACCGGUGGCGAAGGCGGCAACCUGGUCCAUUACUGACGCUGAGGCGCGACAGCGUGGGGAGCAAACAGGAUUAGAUACCCGCGUAGUCCCUGUCUCUUAUAC
rnacentral:rRNA from 1 species